AGAGUUUGAUCAUGGCUCAGAUUGAACGCUGGCGGCAGGCCUAACACAUGCAAGUCGAGCGGUAGCACAGAGAGCUUGCUCUCGGGUGACGAGCGGCGGACGGGUGAGUAAUGUCUGGGAAACUGCCUGAUGGAGGGGGAUAACUACUGGAAACGGUAGCUAAUACCGCAUAACGUCGCAAGACCAAAGUGGGGGACCUUCGGGCCUCAUGCCAUCAGAUGUGCCCAGAUGGGAUUAGCUAGUAGGUGGGGUAACGGCUCACCUAGGCGACGAUCCCUAGCUGGUCUGAGAGGAUGACCAGCCACACUGGAACUGAGACACGGUCCAGACUCCUACGGGAGGCAGCAGUGGGGAAUAUUGCACAAUGGGCGCAAGCCUGAUGCAGCCAUGCCGCGUGUGUGAAGAAGGCCUUCGGGUUGUAAAGCACUUUCAGCGGGGAGGAAGGCGUUAAGGUUAAUAACCUUGGCGAUUGACGUUACCCGCAGAAGAAGCACCGGCUAACUCCGUGCCAGCAGCCGCGGUAAUACGGAGGGUGCAAGCGUUAAUCGGAAUUACUGGGCGUAAAGCGCACGCAGGCGGUCUGUCAAGUCGGAUGUGAAAUCCCCGGGCUCAACCUGGGAACUGCAUUCGAAACUGGCAGGCUAGAGUCUUGUAGAGGGGGGUAGAAUUCCAGGUGUAGCGGUGAAAUGCGUAGAGAUCUGGAGGAAUACCGGUGGCGAAGGCGGCCCCCUGGACAAAGACUGACGCUCAGGUGCGAAAGCGUGGGGAGCAAACAGGAUUAGAUACCCUGGUAGUCCACGCCGUAAACGAUGUCGAUUUGGAGGUUGUGCCCUUGAGGCGUGGCUUCCGGAGCUAACGCGUUAAAUCGACCGCCUGGGGAGUACGGCCGCAAGGUUAAAACUCAAAUGAAUUGACGGGGGCCCGCACAAGCGGUGGAGCAUGUGGUUUAAUUCGAUGCAACGCGAAGAACCUUACCUGGUCUUGACAUCCACAGAACUUNNNNNNNNNNNNNNNNNNNNNNNNNNNNNNNNNNNGGCCGGGAACUCAAAGGAGACUGCCAGUGAUAAACUGGAGGAAGGUGGGGAUGACGUCAAGUCAUCAUGGCCCUUACGACCAGGGCUACACACGUGCUACAAUGGCAUAUACAAAGAGAAGCGACCUCGCGAGAGCAAGCGGACCUCAUAAAGUAUGUCGUAGUCCGGAUUGGAGUCUGCAACUCGACUCCAUGAAGUCGGAAUCGCUAGUAAUCGUAGAUCAGAAUGCUACGGUGAAUACGUUCCCGGGCCUUGUACACACCGCCCGUCACACCAUGGGAGUGGGUUGCAAAAGAAGUAGGUAGCUUAACCUUCGGGAGGGCGCUUACCACUUUGUGAUUCAUGACUGGGGUGAAGUCGUAACAAGGUAACCGUAGGGGAACCUGCGGUUGGAUCACCU
rnacentral:rRNA from 1 species